CCACUGCACAUGCACAUAUGUCUGCAGGGAAGAACUGUCGUAUCCCGUGGCUCGGACAGGCAAAUAACACAUUCUUUCCCAGGAUCACUACCAUUAUAGUCGUCAUCAACAGAGUUGCCUAUCCCAUAUAUCUCUUGCAAUUCGUAUCUCGUUCCAUUCACCCACAAGAUUUGCUUCACUACGCGUACCUGGUAGUUGCCAUGUUCCUUCUUCUCAAACAGGGCUAGCGUAAUUUGUGAGUUUGGAGUGCCAGUCUUUGGGUUUUCAGCUAAAGGUUCCGGCUCAGUUGGGGG
rnacentral:misc_RNA from 1 species